rnacentral:rRNA from 1 species
CAGUAGCCGCGGUAAUACGUAGGGUGCAAGCGUUAAUCGGAAUUACUGGGCGUAAAGCGUGCGCAGGCGGUUAUAUAAGACAGAUGUGAAAUCCCCGGGCUCAACCUGGGAACUGCAUUUGUGACUGGCAAGCUAGAGUGUGGCAGAGGGGGGUGGAAUUCCGCGUGUAGCAGUGAAAUGCAUAGAUAUGCGGAGGAACACCGAUGGCGAAGGCAGCCCCCUGGGCCAACACUGACGCUCAUGCACGAAAGCGUGGGGAGCAAACAGGAUUAGAGACCCCAGUAGUCCCUGUCUCUUAUAC